GCAUUGAUAGUGUAGGGGUAUCAUGAGUCGUUGCCACUCAUCGCUUCACAAGAAGCGUGACUACCGAUUCGACUCGACUGGGGUUCGAGUCCCCGUCAAUGCA
rnacentral:tRNA from 1 species